rnacentral:rRNA from 1 species
CCUACGGGCGGCAGCAGUGGGGAAUAUUGGGCAAUGGGCGCAAGCCUGACGCAGCAACGCCGCGUGAAGGAAGAAGGCUUUCGGGUUGUAAACUUCUUUUGUCAGGGAAGAGUAGAAGACGGUACCUGACGAAUAAGCCACGGCUAAAUACGGGCCCGGCGCCGCCGUAAUCCGGAGGUGGAAAGCGUUUUCCGGAUUUACUGGGUGGAACGGGCGUGUAGCCGGGUUGACAAGUCAGAUGUGAAAGCCUUCGGCUUAACCGCAGAACUGCAUUUGAAACUUUUAAUCUUGAGUACUGGAGAGGAAGGCGGAAUUCCUAGUGUAGCGGUGAAAUGCGUAGAUAUUAGGAGGAACACCAGUGGCGAAGGCGGUCUGCUGGACAGAAACUGACGGUGAGGCGCGAAAGCGUGGGGAGCAAACAGGAUUAGAUACCCUUGUAGUC